rnacentral:rRNA from 1 species
UACGUAGGUUGCAAGCGUUAUCCGGAAUUACUGGGCGUAAAGCGUCUGUAGGCGGCGAGGUAAGUAGGGGAUAAAAUCUCUGGGCCCAACCCAGAAUGUGUUUCCUAAACUGCUUUGCUAGAGAAAUGGAGGGGUGAAUGGAAUUCCUGGUGUAGGGGUAAAAUCCGUUGAUAUCAGGAGGAACGCUAAAAGCGAAAGGCAGUUCACUGGCCAUUUCUGACGCUGAGAGACGAAAGCGUGGGGAGCAAACAGG